AUGAACUACAUAAAAAACAAGCUAAGAAGCAAGAUGGGGCAAAAAUACCUAAAUGAUUGCUUGGUCACAUUUGUCGAAAGGGAUUUCUUCUUGCAAGUUAAGGAUGAGGACAUCAUCACUCAUUUCCAGAGCAUCAAGGAUCGCAAAGUUAUCCUGUAA
rnacentral:rRNA from 1 species